rnacentral:rRNA from 1 species
GACAGAGGGUGCAAACGUUGUUCGGAAUUACUGGGCGUAAAGCGCGUGUAGGCGGCAUGGCAAGUCGGGUGUGAAAGCCCUGGGCUCAACCUAGGAAGUGCACUCGAAACUGCCACGCUGGAGUCUUGGAGAGGAAGGCGGAAUUCUCGGUGUAGAGGUGAAAUUCGUAGAUAUCGGGAGGAACACCGGUGGCGAAGUCGGCCUUCUGGACAAUCACUGACGCUGAGACGCGAAAGCGUGGGGAGCAAACAGG